rnacentral:rRNA from 1 species
GAUGAACGCUAGCUACAGGCUUAACACAUGCAAGUCGAGGGGAAACGAUAUUGGAAGCUUGCUUCCGAUAGGCGUCGACCGGCGCACGGGUGAGUAACGCGUAUCCAACCUGCCCACCACUUGGGGAUAACCUUGCGAAAGUAAGACUAAUACCCAAUGAUAUCUCUAGAAGACAUCUGAAGGAGAUUAAAGAUUCAUCGGUGAUGGAUGGGGAUGCGUCUGAUUAGCUUGUUGGCGGGGUAACGGCCCACCAAGGCGACGAUCAGUAGGGGUUCUGAGAGGAAGGUCCCCCACAUUGGAACUGAGACACGGUCCAAACUCCUACGGGAGGCAGCAGUGAGGAAUAUUGGUCAAUGGGCGAGAGCCUGAACCAGCCAAGUAGCGUGCAGGAUGACGGCCCUAUGGGUUGUAAACUGCUUUUAUAAGGGAAUAAAGUGAGCCUCGUGAGGCUUUUUGCAUGUACCUUAUGAAUAAGGACCGGCUAAUUCCGUGCCAGCAGCCGCCGUAA